AACGUAGGACGCAAGCGUUAUCCGGAGUUACUGGGCGUAAAGCGCGGGCAGGCGGUCUUGCCAGUCUGAUGUGAAAUCUCCUCGCUCAACGGGGAGCAGCCAUUGGAAACUACAAGACUGGAGUCUGACAGAGGUAGGCGGAAUUCCGGGUGGAGUGGUGAAAUGCGUAGAGAUCCGGAGGAACACCAGAGGCGAAGGCGGCCUACUGGGUCAGUACUGACGCUGAGCCGCGAAAGCCAGGGGAGCGAAC
rnacentral:rRNA from 1 species